UCUAGAGCUAAUACAUGCUGAAAAUCCCGACUUCGGAAGGGAUGUGUUUAUUAGAUAAAAAACCAAUGCCCUUCGGGGCUUUUUGGUGAUUCAUGAUAACUUUACGGAUCGCAUAGCCUUGCGCUGGCGACGGUUCAUUCAAAUUUCUGCCCUAUCAACUUUCGAUGGUAAGGUAUUGGCUUACCAUGGUUUCAACGGGUAACGGGAAAAUUAGGGUUCGAUUCCGGAGAGGGAGCCUGAGAAACGGCUACCACAUCCAAGGAAGGC
rnacentral:rRNA from 1 species